GAUUGCUACUACGCAAAGUAAUAAGUGGUUCCGUGUCGCACACAAACAUAGCUCCUGUUCUUUUCAAAACCUCCUCUUUCUUCUCUGGAACGCAGAGAAGGUGCUCCAAUGGAAAUAAAAGCAGCCGCAGAGAGUGAAACAGAGAUCAGAGCGUGAGUCUCAGUCGCUAAGGGACUGGGUGGGCGAGUUGUGAGUCAAUUGUACAAUAUAUCGAAGAGAAAGAUGCUGUAAAGACGAAAGGUCUAUAGUAGGAAGGUUGGUAGAGGGGUUCUUAAUAUGGUCGGGGUUUGGGCGUUGUGAGGAAGGAAGAAUAUAGCGUUGAGGAACAUGAGGUACCCCCAAUUGGGUAAGGGUCAUUGCACUUGUAAAUGAAGUAGCACCUUCCAUUCUCUCACUAUAUCUCUCUCUCUUUCUAUCUCUCGUGCUUUUCCUUCUUUGGAAUGAACUGGUUGAACUAGAGGUGUCCUCUAUUUAUAAGCCAGAGUAGGAACUAAUGAAAUGGCAUUAGACCCAUAUUGCUUGGUGGUACAGUUACAAUGGAUCUCUUGAUUGAGAUAGUUAUUGUAAGCAGCUUUGUUGUUCGUAAAUAUGAUAGAGAGAGUGUGUGCGGUUCCGUGGACUUUUUCAGCCGCAUGAUGAAAUAAACUUCGAUCAGUUACGUGGAGGAAAACUCCAGGUGAAGUAGGACCUGAUAUGCUGAGAUUCAGGAGCCUGGAGUCUGGACAGGAAUUAUAUGGCAAAUGUGUAUAGGUCUUUAAAGUUGGAGGUGAUUUGCACGCGCCAAAAUGCAUGGGACCAUGGCCAUUGAUCGCCAAGUUCUCACGUCAGAUAUGGGAGAUAUAUAUGGGAGAUUUUUGUUUUAAUAUCUUGGAGUGGUUGUCAUUUAAUACAAUGAUACGGUUAGCAUUGAAUUGGUGCACUUGUUUGAUUCUGGGGGACCACCGAAGCCACUGUAAAUGGCCUACGACUUCAUUUUCCUUUUCUCUUCUUUUAAUUAUAUACGUAUUCUAUAUUAAUAUCUUCUACUCUAAUAUUCAUGUACAGAUCAUGUAUCAAUCUCUUUGGAUUUUUUCAUAUGUACGUCCGCCAUCUUUAAGCUAGCUCCUGUUCAGUGCAGUCCAUAUUCCAUAACUCUAUGGACACGGUAUAUAUAUAUAUAUAUUUGUUUAAUUAGUAAAAUUGCAUAUAUAUUCGAAAGGCAAAUACAGCCAUAUAAUAUGGCACCAUGGAGGAGUUAACAGUGGACUGAUAAGUGAUAACUUUAAUCGUUAUGAAAAGAUCGAUAUCCAUGCAUUACAUCUGCAUAAAAGCAGUAUAUACGUAUACCCGGCGACUAGGCCGCCACAUUGCGAUCAUUGAAAAGGUUGUCUAUGUCGAAUUCCGGUUAUUGGUCUAAGUCCAUUAACAAUCCCAAUCCCAGGUGUGUUCCAAACACAAGAUUCAUGUCCCCAUGGUAUGAAAUAUUGAGGCCAGCCAUUCCGGAAGGUAACCACCCAAGUCCAUUGGACUGUAACACAAACCAGCUUUAUACUGAUUUUCUGCACAUUAACUAGAAUUCUCGAUACUCUAGCUAACCAGUUUCUUUCCAACUUACUGCCAUUAUGAAAUACUUGGAAUGGAGAUCGAGGGCCAUGCGAUCUACAUUAGAAGUUAUACCAGGUGGAGUCAUGGGCAUAGACGGUGGAAGGAUGGCUCCUGAUCUGUACUUGAUCAUGUUAAGUAUUUGGAAUGAUUGUAAUGCGCAAAACUUCAAAGAUUAUGAAACAACUUUGCCAGUGUUUGAACCACAUAACAUAUAUAUGCAGAUUAUGACA